rnacentral:misc_RNA from 1 species
GAAAUGCGAUAAGUAGUGUGAAUUGCAGAAUUCAGUGAAUCAUCGAAUCUUUGAACGCACAUUGCGCCCUUUGGUAUUCCUUAGGGCAUGCCUGUUCGAGCGUCAUUUGUAACCUCAAGCUCAGCUUGGUGUUGGGUGUCUGUCCCCGCCCCGCGCGGGGACUCGCCUCAAAAACAUUGGCGGCCGGUACGUUGGCUUCGAGCGCAGCAGAAACGCGAACUCGAGGCCCGACGGAUCGGCGACCAGAAGUCACUUCUUCCACAGCUUGACCCCGGAUCAGGUAGGGAUACCCGCUGAACUUAAGC